UACGAAGGGGGCUAGCGUUGCUCGGAAUUACUGGGCGUAAAGGGCGCGUAGGCGGAUAUCUAAGUUGGGGGUGAAAUCCCGGGGCUCAACCUCGGAAUUGCCUUCAAAACUGGAUAUCUUGAGUUCGGGAGAGGUGAGUGGAACUCCGAGUGUAGAGGUGAAAUUCGUAGAUAUUCGGAAGAACACCAGUGGCGAAGGCGGCUCACUGGCCCGAUACUGACGCUGAGGCGCGAAAGCGUGGGGAGCAAACAGG
rnacentral:rRNA from 1 species